rnacentral:rRNA from 1 species
CCUACGGGUGGCUGCAGUGGGGAAUAUUGGACAAUGGGGGGAACCCUGAUCCAGCCAUGCCGCGUGUGUGAAGAAGGCCCUCGGGUUGUAAAGCACUUUCAGUGAGGAAGAACGCCUGGUGGUUAAUACCCAUCAGGAAAGACAUCACUCACAGAAGAAGCACCGGCUAACUCCGUGCACAGCAGCCGCGGUAAUACGGAGGGUGCGAGCGUUAAUCGGAAUUACUGGGCGUAAAGCGCGCGUAGGUGGCUUGAUAAGCCGGUUGUGAAAGCCCCGGGCUCAACCUGGGAACGGCAUCCGGAACUGUCAAGCUAGAGUGCAGGAGAGGAAGGUAGAAUUCCCGGUGUAGCGGUGAAAUGCGUAGAGAUCGGGAGGAAUACCAGUGGCGAAGGCGGCCUUCUGGACUGACACUGACACUGAGGUGCGAAAGCGUGGGUAGCAAACAGGAUUAGAUACCCUAGUAGUC